GCACAUGUGGUCUAGUGGUAGAAUAGUACCUUGCCACGGUAUAAACCCGUGUUCGAUUCCCGGCUAGUACA
rfam:Beta vulgaris subsp. vulgaris chromosome 7, whole genome shotgun sequence.